rnacentral:lncRNA from 1 species
CACUUCUAAGAUUUAGGAUCCUCAGUGAAGCUGCAGAUACACCAAAGGAUUCCUGACAACUUCAUGCCCAGUUUCUUAUGCCAGGAGGGUCUGGCAUCAUUCAUGGAACAUAGAAGUACGAGGCUGCAGUAUAAUAAAUUCUUCUUGGUUGACCUCGUAAGGCUCUAUCCUCUGAGUCAAUGUUUCUUCUAGUGUUCUCCAAUGGAUGAGAUUAAGGAUUAGGUAAGGAGGAAUGGGACACCUUCAGAGCUAAGAAAAUUAUAGAAAUGUAGCAGCUGUCCUGGGUGUUCAGAAGAAGGUGGGCACUCCGAGUGCCCACUCCUCCCUCCACCCUUCAUUUUACAGACAAGAAAACUGAGGCUCAAAUAGGGGAGGUAUUGCCAGAUACCACAGGACUAAUAAGUGACAGAGAUUGGACUCACAUUCAGGCCUCUUGACCCAGCCCAACCCCCCAGACUCCUUCACAGAUGUCUCAGUCCCUACUAAAUGAUGGCCAAGGACACAGCUAUCAUACCAGCAACUGUUUCCUUUUGGAGUAGGGGAGGGGGCUAAGUGGGGAUAGAAAUGGGCCAACCUGCGUGUGAGUGAUCUGUGCAGAGUAAAAUGCAGUUACCUCAGCUCAGCUGGGCCAGUCUUUAGGGCAGCCCCUGAGAGCCCUUACAAGAGGUACACAGGAGCUGGCUUAUUCAGGGGGCUGGCAAAUAGUCCUUACCUCCUCAGACUGUUCUGAAACUCAAGUUAGACAAUCUAUGUAAAGUUCUUUGAACAACUAAAUCAUUGCAUACAUUCUCGAGGUUAUUAAUUUUUCAAAAUAGAUCUCUUUCGAUAUCUGUUGUUUUGAUGUUGCCUAGAUCUUCCCUCCACCCCCAUAACAAAGAUGUGAUUGUUUUUAUCAGUAUGCUUUAACAUUUAAUCAGACUAUAAAACAGCAAAAGCACCCAGAAGUCUCUUGUUCAGACUUCAGAUCUCUUUCUAAAUCUCCAGUUUGGGGAUAGUCGUUUCAGACCAGGGAUUUGAUUUUAUAAACAUGUUAAUUAGGAUGGUUUUGCACCAGUUCUUUAAUAAGUAAGUUCAGUCUUCUAGUUCCCCAGAGCUAUAAUUGCCCUCCCUCUCACUCCCCCCAUUAUCUCUAAUUUCCAUAUAGUGUCCCUCAACGAAUUUAAACUCCUAGGGGACAGGGGCCCUUUCACUC